GCCAAGCAUGGUGGCGCAUGCCUAUAGUCCCAGCUACUUGGGAGGCAGAGGCAGGAGAAUUGCUUGAGCCCAGGAGGCGUAGGUUGCAGUGAGCCAAGACUGCGCCACUGCAGUCCAGCCUGGGCGACAGAGCGAGACUCCGUCUCAA
rnacentral:SRP_RNA from 1 species